rnacentral:rRNA from 1 species
AUGGUUUGUCACUCUGUUCAGGAGGAUCUGUGGUGGUCUGCUUUUCCUGUUGGGACUGAGUGGGAAAACAUUGAUAUGAUAAAGGAAUUCAAUUGGAACUUCGAAAAUUUAGAGNNNNNNNNNNNNNNNNNNNNNNNNNNNNNUGGGAAGACGGUUUACUUGUUUGGAAGCACCGAGCCACAACAAUUGGAUGUUAAUGGUGAAUUGAAGAUUGUAGUUGUUCCUGUUGUACUUGCUGUUGACUGUCCUUUUCCUCCAUCAGAUAAGAUUGCCAUCAAUUUUGUUCAAACGGGAAAAGAAGAAAUAGUACCAAUGGAAGAGAUGAAGAUGUCAUGGGUGCCUUAUGUUCCUCUUCAGGACCGGUUUGGCGGGAUUGAAAGUUUGAAAACAAAAAUCUUCACUCUCUGUUGCACCCAGCGGAGGUCUGCGCUGAACCGUAUGAAAACUGAGAGUGCCAACAAGUUCUACUACUACACGCCCUCAGACAUGCCACUAAAUCCUCCUGAAGAUGAAGAUGGCACAGUUGUCCGCGUCAUAUAUCCUCUAGAACCCCCGAUAGUUUGUGAUUUUGACUUGAUGGAUGAUUACAAGGUUUUAGCUCAUAAGCUAGUCAAAGACGAGGGGUUGCCAGAGGAUGAGAGGGAAAAAAUUGAGGAAUUUCUAAAGGAGAAGGUUAAACAAAGGAAAAUAGAAGUGGAACAGGCUGAAGAAGCCAGGAAGAAAGCUAUUGAAGGUAUGGACCCUAAGCAAAGAGUGGCAUUUGAAAACAUGAAACUUUACAAAUUCUAUCCUGUGAAAACCCCGGAUACACCUGAUGUUAACAAUAUGAAGUCGAGGUACAUCAACAGAUAUUAUCGCCGCGCACAUUAUCUGAUGUAA